GCCUAGUGGUUAAGGCUAUGGAUCGCCAAUCCGAGGACGGCGGGUUCGAUUCCCGU
rnacentral:tRNA from 1 species